rnacentral:rRNA from 1 species
GACGAACGCUGGCGGCGUGCCUAAUACAUGCAAGUCGAACGCAGUGGGAACAGGUUAGUAACAAGUGGGUAACCGCCCCUCAGAGGGGAUAACACUUGGAAACAGGUGCUAAACCGAUACUGAUGUCUGGACCCGCGGGGCAUUAGCUAGUUGGUGAGGUAACGGCUCACCAAGGCCACGAUGCAUAGCGGACCUGAGAGGGUGAUCGGCCACACUGGAACGGAGACACGGCCCAGACUCCGACGGGAGGCAGCAGUGGGGAAUAUUGGGCAAUGGGCGAAAGUCUGACCGAGCAACGCCGCGUGAGUGAAGAAGGUUUUCGGAUUGUAAAACUCUGUUGUUAGAGAAGCGGUAUCUAACCAGAAAGCAACGGCUAACUACGUGCCAGCAGCCGCGGUAAUUC